GCGGGGAACUGUAGGGUCGGAACCAUUGAGCGUCUGAAUAGUUUUCGGAGGGCUUCUGUGGCACAGAGAAACUUCCGGUCCUGGGAACGCAGGAGGAGUCGCUGCUUCCGGUUUAUAUUCACAGCGCCGAAUUUUGCGUUAUGUUAUUGGGCAGAGGGCAUUAUUGCACAAACAAUAUAUGUCUCUGAAGGGGUAGGGACAUGUAAGGAAAAGCCGUAACGAUAAGAAGGAGAGAAGAAUCCAAGAGCCAGGGCUGGUUUUAAGUUGUCUCUGGCCCCCUGGCAUUGCAGGGGCUUCUGGUUUAGGGCAUUAAGUGUUAAUUUCUGUACAUAUGUCAGGGGGUCAGUCCUGAAGCCCCCCCAGCUGUUGUAAUGUGAAAGUGUGUUAAGGCCAGCAUGGUGCAUUCAUUAAUAGAGGCAUAUGGGCUGCUCAAAGAGAUUAGGUGAGGUCAGAUACUGCCAUUGUAUCAGUCACUCUCAGAAAGAAUUAUGCCCAGAAGGUGCUUGGUGCGGAUGACACCAUGUUGAAUGUUGAUCCAACGACUGGUAUUUGCCAUUUGCUCUAUGACAGUGCCCCCAGUGGACGUUUUGGGACAAUGACUUAUCUCUCUAAAUCAGUAGCCAUCACCCUGCAGGAGUCCUUACCCCACAGCGGAUGUUCCAUGCAGUGACAUAUACAGUCUGUUUACACUAAAGCUGCUGGUAUCCUGAGAGCCACUGUGAAGGAGUAACCAAAAGUAAUGGGUAAGAUGUGCAAUUAUCAGCACUAGUCUUCAAGUGCAGGCACUAGCAGUGUUUUCUAACAUGAUUUUUACAUAAGGAUUUUGGACCUGCUAUAUGAUCCUGAUACUUCUGCAUAUCCUAGUGAAAGAAUAUAUUUAAAGAAGCAGACACGCAAAACAAAUCAAAUUGUUCAAGGAAAGUAUACUUCAAAGUAAAAAUCGAACAUAAAAGGAAUAUACGUAUACCCUAUACAACUGAAAAAGUUAUACAACACAAUCAGUUUAGAUAUGAAAAUGUAAAAGGAGAUCAAUUUUUCUUUGACAUAGCAAAAAGAAAAAUGUCUUAUAACCUGCAUAGCUGGCAGAGGGACUUGGUACUGUUAAUCCCAGUGUAGUUACCAAAUUGCAGUAAAAAUGAAAUUGUUCUAUAGCAAUUGAACUCCUAAAG